AAGCCCAUCAUGGCUGUAGCAAUAGUGAACUUCUCCCUUGGACCUAGUUAAGAGUGGGCUGGAAUAGGUGAUGGAAAGUAGUGCAGAAUAUAGUGGGAUAUUAGGUUAGAAAAGCAGUUUGGGACCAACUUGUGAAGAGCCUUGAAUGCUAAGAUGUUUAAUUUUACCCUAAAGACAACCAGGAGCUUUUAGAGGUUUUUGAGAAAAAGGAAGAGGAGAGGCCACAGCGACAAGAGAGAAGGCCAUGUGGAGACAGAUAAAGCUUGGGAUUAUGCUGCCACAAGCCAAGAACUGCCGGAAGCCCCAGAAGCUGGAGGAGGUCCAUGCUCUUUCUACUGCAUCCUGCUGACAAGAAGGGAAAGUGUGGGAACUGAUGGAGGUUCAGCAGGCUCUGUUGUCAGCCCAACAAAAGCACCAAAGAAGUUUCCUGGCUGACAUUUUACUACAUCAUCACGUACGGCGAACUGGAUUGUGAAUGCCCUUAGAUGCCAUUGGAAGGGAUUUAGAUUUCACUUUCUAAGUAGGCAAUGCGAGUCCAUUCAGAGAUUGUGAAGUGGAAGAAUAUCAUGAUCAGAUCUGUGUGGCUGAUGAAUAGAGACAAAUCUGAUGUCUGGGGUUAUAUUAUUGAGAUUCAAUAAAUGCUAAUUCUAUACUUACUUAUUGAGUGCCUAAUAUGUGCA
rnacentral:lncRNA from 10 species